AAAGCUCCAAGCUGUACCUAAAUUUAUAUGUGAGCAUAGGAAUGAACUAGGUGUAGGUUAACACCAGCUGUCAUCUUGGUAGAUAUUUGACAAGAGAUAGUGUGCCCUAGCUGACGAUUUUCAAUAAAUGGGCUUCACCGGAAAUAAAUCAUUACUACCUCUACCACAAAUUGAAUCUCUCCUUGUUGAAUUGGCGUGACUCAAAUAAGAUUCAGAAGAUUUUAUUUAAGAUUUUGACACUAGCUAGAAGGCUGGGGGAUAAGCAACCUUUGAAGUCCUUCUUACUAGAACUUUGCCCACAAUAGAACUUUUACACUAUAAAGGUAAUUUUUAAAAAAUGGCCAAAUUUUCAUGUACAGCAGGGAUUAGGCAGACUACUAAAUCCUUGAAGUUGAUAAUGGUGAUCGUCAGUAAAAAGGUAGCACAAGGUUUUG
rnacentral:misc_RNA from 1 species